rnacentral:misc_RNA from 1 species
UUCUUUUUUUUUUUUUUUUUCCCCGGCAACUGGAUGGGUAAAAGCACCAAGAUUGCGGAUGGCAGAGCUCCGCCAGGCUUUCUUUCAAUCGGCGUUGUUUCUCAGACAUAUUUAGUUAAAAGUCUUGACUUUGAUCCACAAUUCCAAAUCAAGUGUGUGGAAGUACUCUGAUUUAAUAAGACUUUCUUGCUUUUUGCAGGAAAGAAGAGGAGAAGGAUCAUUAUCGUUCUCGUUCUAACUGUAAGCGUUGUCACACUUAUCAUCUGCAUAAUUAUUUAUCUAAGAGUUCGGAAGCCAAAAGAAAGAGUUGAAACUGUGGAUGAAAUAAUAAGUGUGGAAUCCUUGCAAUUCGACCUUGAGACUAUUCGAGCUGCAACAGAUAAUUUUUCCGAGGAAAAUAAGCUUGGAGUAGGUGGAUUUGGUUCUGUUUACAAGGGUUCACUUCCCAACGAGCAAGAUAUAGCGGUCAAAAGGCUUUCUAUGGAUUCUCAACAAGGAGAUGCAGAGUUUAAAAAUGAAGUACUGUUGUUGGCCAAGCUUCAACACCGAAAUUUGGUUAGGCUUCUUGGUUUCUGCUUGGAAGGAAAAGAAAAGCUUCUCAUCUAUGAGUUUGUGCCUAAUGCCAGCCUUGAUCAUUUCAUAUUUGAUCCUCUAAGGUGUGUUCAUUUGGACUGGGAAAAGCGCUACAAAAUCAUUGGUGGCAUUGCUAGAGGGCUUCUUUAUCUUCAUGAGGAUUCUCGGCUUCGAAUUAUUCAUCGUGACCUUAAAGCUAGUAACAUUUUAUUAGAUGCAAAUAUGAACCCUAAAAUUUCAGAUUUUGGUAUGGCAAGGUUGUUUAUGAUGGAUCAAACUCAUGCCAAUACAAGUAGAAUUGUGGGGACUUUGUAAGUGUAUACAAUCAUUUGCAUAUUAUGUUUAGACGUUAAUGUCAUUCUAUUGAAAUUAAACUUAAAAUGUUAAUACACAGUGGAUACAUGGCUCCAGAGUAUGC